ACUCCUACGGGAGGCAGCAGUAGGGAAUCUUCCACAAUGGGCGCAAGCCUGAUGGAGCAACACCGCGUGAGUGAAGAAGGGUUUCGGCUCGUAAAGCUCUGUUGUUAAAGAAGAACACGUAUGAGAGUAACUGUUCAUACGUUGACGGUAUUUAACCAGAAAGUCACGGCUAACUACGUGCCAGCAGCCGCGGUAAUACGUAGGUGGCAAGCGUUAUCCGGAUUUAUUGGGGCGUAAAGAGAGUGCAGGCGGUUUUCUAAGUCUGAUGUGAAAGCCUUCGGCUUAACCGGAGAAGUGCAUCGGAAACUGGAUAACUUGAGUGCAGAAGAGGGUAGUGGAACUCCAUGUGUAGCGGUGGAAUGCGUAGAUAUAUGGAAGAACACCAGUGGCGAAGGCGGCUACCUGGUCUGCAACUGACGCUGAGACUCGAAAGCAUGGGUAGCGAACAGGAUUAGAUACCCUGGUAGGAUAGAG
rnacentral:rRNA from 1 species